CAGGCUGUUACCGCAAAAACCUCUCGUAACAAAAGCCGGGUGAGUCGGUAACGGAAACCCG
rnacentral:sRNA from 1 species